CCUACGGGAGGCUGCAGUGAGGAAUAUUGGUCAGUGGGCGAGAGUCUGAACCAGCCAAGUAGCGUGAGGGAUGACGGCACUGAGGAUUGUAAACUUCUUUUGUAAGGGAAUAAAACGAGGCACGUGUGCCUGUUUGCGUGUACUUUAUGAAUAAGCAUCGGCUAACUCCGUGCCAGCAGCCGCGGUAAUACGGAGGAUCCGAGCGUUAUCCGGAUUUAUUGGGUUUAAAGGGUGCGUAGAUGGGUUGUUAAGUCAGUGGUGAAAGUUUGGGGCUCAACCGCAAACUCGCCAUUGAUACUGGCAGUCUCGAGUACAGUUGAGGUAGGCGGAAUGCGUGGUGUAGCGGUGAAAUGCAUAGAUAUCACGAAGAACCCCGAUUGCGAAGGCAGCAUACCAACUUCAGACUGACAUUGAUGCUCGAAAGCGUGGGUAUCAAACAGGAUUAGAUACCCGAGUAGUC
rnacentral:rRNA from 1 species